rnacentral:rRNA from 1 species
UACGGGGGGAGCAAGCGUUGUUCGGAUUUACUGGGCGUAAAGGGCGCGUAGGCGGCCAGCACAAGUCAGUUGUGAAAUCUCCGAGCUUAACUCGGAAAGGUCAACUGAUACUGUGCGGCUAGAGUAGGCAGAAGGGGGCAACUGGAAUUCUUGGUGUAGCGGUGAAAAUGCGAUAGAUAUCAAAGAGGGAACACCUGGCGGCGAAGGCGGGUUGCUGGGCUGACACAUGA